AGAACGAACGCUGGCGGCAUGCCUAACACAUGCAAGUCGAACGCUUUUGGGGCUUCGGUCCCAAAGGAGUGGCACACGGGUGAGUAGCGCGUGGGAACCUGCCCUGUUGUGGGGGAUAACCGAGGGAAACUUCGGCUAAUACCGCAUACGCCCGGGGGAAACUCCGGGGAAAGAUUUAUCGCAGCAGGAGGGGCCCGCGUCGGAUUAGGUAGUUGGUGGGGUAACGGCCCACCAAGCCUGUGAUCCGUAGCUGGUCUGAGAGGAUGAUCAGCCACACUGGGACUGAGACACGGCCCAGACUCCUACGGGAGGCAGCAGUGGGGAAUAUUGGACAAUGGGCGCAAGCCUGAUCCAGCAAUGCCGCGUGAGUGAUGAAGGCCUUCGGGUUGUAAAGCUCUUUCGCACGCGACGAUGAUGACGGUAGCGUGAGAAGAAGCCCCGGCUAACUUCGUGCCAGCAGCCGC
rnacentral:rRNA from 1 species